UGGACUCAGAUCAGGCAAGAUACCCGCUGAG
rnacentral:rRNA from 1 species